rnacentral:sRNA from 1 species
GCUGGGUGUGGUGGCGCACACCUGUAAUCCCAGAGGCUUGGUAGGCUGAGGCAGGAAGGUCUCAAGUUCAAAGCCAGCCUCAGCAAAAGCAAGGUGCUAAGCAACUCAGUGAGACCCUGUCUCUA